rnacentral:rRNA from 1 species
AAUGGAGCAAUGAUGGCCACACCGUCUCCUCCAGAGACUCAGCGAAGUUGAAAUGUUUGUGAUGAUGCAAUCUCCCCGCGGAAAGACGGAAAGACCCCAUGAACCUUUACUGUAGCUUUACAUUGGACUUUGAACAGAUCUGUGUAGGAUAGGUGGGAGGCUUUGAAGUAAGGUCGCUAGAUCUUAUGGAGCCGACGUUGAAAUACCACCCUGGUGUGUUUGAGGUUCUAACCUUGGCCCGUGAUCCGGGUUGGGGACAGUGUAUGGUGGGCAGUUUGACUGGGGCGGUCUCCUCCCAAAGCGUAACGGAGGAGUUCGAAGGUACGCUAGUUACGGUCGGAAAUCGUGACGAUAGUGCAUUGGCAUAAGCGUGCGUGACUG